rnacentral:lncRNA from 1 species
UACUGGGAAGGCAUGCCUUCCUAAUAAUUUCCAAAUAAAGCAUUACCUUUUUCCACGAUGAGGCAACACACAGGGCCCGUGCUUUACAGGCCAUGAUUUCAACUCUCCAGCAAUUCACUACUCCAGAAUCCGUUUUAUAUACUUUCCCAGAAGUUUGCUUGCCCACCUUCAUCUGAAGUGUGGACAUUUUGCAAAGUGUCACCAUUAAGGAAGUUUCUAGCAACAUUUUUCUACUUCGUGGUUCUAUGUUUCAGGGGGUGCACCACAGGCCUGUGGUAUCAAACCACUAAAGCAGAAAAUCACAAGAUAAUGAAUGAUUCUGUAAAAAUCUUGUUAGGAAUGCUACCAUGUCAGUGGCAUUUCCUACCUGUGCAGUGCUUUAAUUCAGGGAAGUGGAUCUGUGAUGGGAGAAAAGCAUCCUGGUACUUUGGCACAGAGAGGACUGCAAGUAUGCACAGAGGAGGAGCAGAGCUGGAAAACUGGAGGUAAAUAAAUUGUAGUAAGGCAUAUAAUAACUUUAUGUUAUAUUAUAUAUGAAUAGAUUAUUCGAUAUCAGAAAAUUGCAGGAAACCGAGGACAAGCUACCAGAGAGAAAUAGCAAAUAGAUUUUUGUGAGUUUGAUUCUCUAGAUCAGCUCACUGCAGUCAGAGGAGUGCCAGAACAUCUCCCUUUUGCUACACUCUAUAUCUGCAUUAUAAUAGCUGGAAAAAAUUGGAAAGAGUAAGAUGAGAAAAGAAUCUGUAAAAAAUACAGUAGAAUUGUUGUGAGGAAAGAAGAGCUCCUACACAAAUAACAGUGACCCUGUGCUUUUGUUAUUGCUGUGGGGAUGCGUUUUUGGUUGUUGGUUUUGUUGGUUUUUUUUUUGCCAACAGAAGACAUACCAUAGACAAUUCUGUCAUCUUUGGUUUGGCUUUAGGACUCUGUUUAGCAACACAGAAAUCCCUGGGGUUUGCUGAGCUAUAAUUUCCCCGUCUGGAAUUUGAUGAGGAAAUUGGAUGCAAUUUCACAUGGUUAAGAAGCCAUAGUGAACAACAGGCGAUAUCCUUCAUCUAAGUACCCCACCAGAAAAAUAAAGGAAAUCAAUUCUAUUCUAACA